CCUGGACGGCGAGCAGGCGGCGGCGGCCAACAGUUCCGAGCCGGCCCGCCUCAGGAAGUACUACCGUCAGAUCCUCGAGCCCGCCGUCGGGCAAGCCCCUCAGUUGGCAGCGCUGAGCAGAGCGCUCGACGCGACAUCUGUGGAGUGCAGUCGCUACUACAUGUGUCAGAUGGCGAUGACGGCGACAUCUUUCGGCGAACCUUUCGACAUCGGGAUGCCUCUGCUGAGUUUGCCGGUGUCCUGGAUCUUGACGGAGACGCAGGGGGGCCAGUUCGGCCAAUACUGCGGCAGUGCCGUGCUGGGUGGCUCGGGCAAAGGCGACUGCGCCCUCCUCUACCCCGGCUGCACACACGCCUGAGGACUACGGGCGGCUGCAGACACGUCUGGGGACCACGAGCAGCUGGAGGAGCUUAUGGGGACUCGGGUAGUGAAGUGAGUGAAUGGUGAAGACAGCAGAUUCUCUCGAUGAUCUGCUGGUCCUCGCGAGAGCCCUCAGACAGCAGAUCUUACUGAGGAUCUACCGGUCAUCGCGAGAGCCCUCAGACAGCAGAUCUUACUGAGGAUCUACCGGUCAUCGCGAGAGCCCUCAGACAGCAGAUCUUACUGAGGAUCUACCGGUCAUCGCGAGAGCCCUCAGACAGCAGAUCUUACUGAGGAUCUACCGGUCAUCGCGAGAGCCCUCAGACAGCAGAUCUUACUGAGGAUCUACCGGUCAUCGCGAGAGCCCUCAGACAGCAGGUUCGACUGAGAAUCUCCUGGUCCUUGCGACAGCACUCAGAUCCUCAAGCGGGACUGAGAGCCCUUGGGAGAU